GUGUCUCUCAAGUACAAUGUAGGAAAAAACAACAACAACAACAAUGUGCAAGGCUGUGGUGUUAUUGUCCAAGUUGUGGACAUUUAGUGAACAUUAGUGAACAUUAGUGACCACGCCCACUACCAACAUGCAGGUUAUCAGGCGCUUUAAUUCCAGCGUUCUGAUGGGGGAACUGGUGACAGUGACAUUAGUGACCACACCCACUACCAACACCAACAUGCAGGUUAUCAGGCGCUUUAAUUCCAGCGUUCUGAUGGGGGAACUGGUGAAUUAGUGAACAUUAGUGACCACGCCCACUACCAACACCAACAUGCAGGUUAUCAGGCGCUUUAAUUCCAGCGUUCUGAUGGGGGAACUGGUGAAUUAGUGAACAUUAGUGACCACGCCCACUACCCACACCAACAUGCAGGAUAUCGGGGGCUU
rnacentral:lncRNA from 1 species